UCAAGCUAUAAAGAGCAUAGGGCGGAUGCCUAGGCACUAGGAGCCGACGAAGGACGUGGCAAGCUGCGAAAAGCCACGGUGAGCCGCAAGCAGGCAUUGACCCGUGGAUAUCCGAAUGGGGGAACCCACCUGAGGUAAUGCUCAGGUAUCCAUAGCUGAAUCCAUAGGCUAUGGAGGGAAUACCCGGGGAACUGAAACAUCUAAGUACCCGGAGGAGAAGAAAGAAAGAUCGAUUUCCUAAGUAGCGGCGAGCGAACGGGAAAGAGCCCAAACCGUAUACUCUACGGGGUAUACGGGGUAUGGACCGGCGGGAAGCACAUAUAAAUGCUAGACGAACCAUCUGGAAAGAUGGACCGAAGAAGGUGACAGUCCUGUAGUCGAAAGUAUUUAUAUAGCGAGCCGUGAUCCGGAGUAGCACGAGGCACGUGAAACCUUGUGUGAAGGCGGGAGGCCCACCUCCCAAGGCUAAAUACUCCCUAGUGACCGAUAGUGAAGCAGUACCGUGAGGGAAAGGUGAAAAGUACCCCGGGAGGGGAGUGAAAGAGUACCUGAAACCCUAUGUUUACAAUCGGUGGUAGCACUAUUGAUGUGCGACCGCGUACUUUUUGUAGAACGGACCGGCGAGUUAUUCCAUGAUGCGAGGUUAAGGACUAGGAGGUCUGAAGCCGUAGGGAAACCGAGUCUUAACAGGGCGAUAUAGUAUCAUGGAGUAGACCCGAAACCAGGUGAUCUAUCCAUGGACAGGAUGAAGCGGAAGUAAAAUUUCGUGGAGGUCCGAACCCACCAAUGUUGAAAAAUUGGGGGAUGAUCUGUGGAUAGGGGUGAAAAGCCAAUCGAACUUGGAGAUAGCUGGUUCUCCUCGAAAUAGCUUUAGGGCUAGCCUCAAGGAAGAUAAGUGGGGGUAGAGCACUGAAUGGGCUAGGGGGCCAACAAGCUUACCGAACCCUAUCAAACUCCGAAUACCAUAUUAUUGAUCCUUGGGAGUCAGACUAUGUGAGAUAAGUUUCAUAGUCGAGAGGGAAAGAGCCCAGACCAUCAGCUAAGGUCCCGAAGUGUAGGUUAAGUGGAAAAGGAUGUGGGAUUGCAGAGACAACCAGGAUGUUGGCUUAGAAGCAGCCAUUCAUUUAAAGAGUGCGUAAUAGCUCACUGGUCGAGUGAUCCUGCGCCGAAGAUGUCCGGGGCUAAAACCUACCACCGAAGCUAUGGGUUGUUGUAGGAUUGCCAAUGUUUUUGAUCAAUAGGUAUAGUAUGGAGGACAUUUUUGUCAAAAUCGCCAAUUGAAAUUAAUGAGAGAUUUUGACCAGAUGGUUCCAAAAGCUGAAACCUGGAUUAAAGAUGUUGGUAAUCCUACAACAGCGGUAGAGGAGCAUUGUAUACGGGCAGAAGCCAUACCGAAAGGAGUGGUGGACUGUAUACAAGAGAGAAUGCCGGUAUGAGUAGCGAGAGCGAAGUGAGAAUCUUCGCCGUCGAAAGCCUAAGGUUUCCUGAGGAAGGUUCGUCCGCUCAGGGUAAGUCGGGACCUAAGCCGAGGGCGAAAGCCGUAGGCGAUGGACAAUCGGUUGAGAUUCCGAUACCACCUUAAUUCCGUUUGACAGAAGCAGUGACACAGUAGGAUAGAUGGAGCGAGUUUAUGGAGAAACUCGUCCAAGCAGUGAGGGAGGCGUAUGAGUGAAGUACCAUAUGCCGGUAAUCCUGAGCUGUGAAGGGGACCGAAAACAAGUAGGGAAGCCAUUGAAUUCACACUGGCGAGAAAAGCUGCUAUGGAGGAGUUAGGGUGCCCGUACCGCAAACCGACACAGGUAGGCGAGGAGAGAAUCCUAAGACGAACGGGAGAACCCUUGUUAAGGAACUCGGCAAAAUGACCCCGUAACUUCGGGAGAAGGGGUGCCUGGGCAACCAGGCCGCAGUGAAUAGGCCCAAGCGACUGUUUAGCAAAAACAUAGGUCUCUGCUAACUCGAGAGAGGAAGUAUAGGGGCUGACGCCUGCCCAGUGCUGGAAGGUUAAGGGGACGUGUUAGCGCAAGCGAAGCAUAGAACCGAAGCCCCAGUGAACGGCGGCCGUAACUAUAACGGUCCUAAGGUAGCGAAAUUCCUUGUCGGGUAAGUUCCGACCCGCACGAAAGGCGUAACGAUUUGGGCACUGUCUCAACAAGGGACCCGGCGAAAUUGUAGUACCAGUGAAGAUGCUGGUUACCCGCGAUAGGACGGAAAGACCCCGUAGAGCUUUACUGUAGCCUGAUAUUGGAUCUUGGUACUGAAUGUACAGGAUAGGUGGGAGGCAUGGAAGUAUGGUCGCCAGAUUGUACGGAGCCGUCCUUGGGAUACCACCCUUUCAGUGCUGGGGUUCUAACCAUGGACCGUGACCCGGCUGUGGGACAUUGUCAGGUGGGCAGUUUGACUGGGGCGGUCGCCUCCUAAAGAGUAACGGAGGCGCCCAAAGGUUCCUUCAGAAUGGUUGGAAAUCAUUCGUAGAGUGCAAAGGCAGAAGGGAGCCUGACUGCGAGAGAGACAUUUCGAGCAGGUACGAAAGUAGGGCUUAGUGAUCCGGCGGUAUGUGAGUGGAAAUGCCGUCGCUCAACGGAUAAAAGCUACCUCGGGGAUAACAGGCUUAUCUCCCCCAAGAGUCCACAUCGACGGGGAGGUUUGGCACCUCGAUGUCGGCUCGUCGCAUCCUGGGGCUGGAGUAGGUCCCAAGGGUUGGGCUGUUCGCCCAUUAAAGCGGCACGCGAGCUGGGUUCAGAACGUCGUGAGACAGUUCGGUCCCUAUCCAUCGCGGGCGUAGGAAAUUUGAGAGGAGCUGUCCUUAGUACGAGAGGACCGGGAUGGACGUACCAAUGGUGAAUCAGUUGUUCCACCAGGGGCAUAGCUGAGUAGCCAAGUACGGACGGGAUAAACGCUGAAGGCAUCUAAGCGUGAAGCCCCCCUCAAGAUAAGAUUUCCCAUCCUAAAUGGAGUAAGACCCCUUGUAGAUUACGAGGUAGAUAGGUCGGAGGUGUAAGUGCAGUAAUGCAUUGAGCUGACCGAUACUAAUAGGUCGAGGGCUUGAUCAA
rnacentral:rRNA from 1 species